AGGUCGUGCUGAGUCAGUC
rnacentral:misc_RNA from 1 species